UUUUUUUUCUUCUUCUUCUCCAAGCUCCAAGCAAGCCAUCAAUGGCUACCCUUUUCACCAUCUCCACACACACACACACCCACAACAACACACACACACACAACAACACUCACACACACAGCAAACACUCAUACACACAUAGUGCAUGCAGCAGCCGUUCAUGGCUGCUGCUUCUUCUUCGCCUUCGUCCCAAACGACCUUGUUGCUGCGUCAUCCAUGACUUCCCCUCUAGUUGCUGCGUCGUCUUCUUCUUCAUGCUGCUGCUGCGUCUUCUUCAUCCGAAGUACCACUGCUGUCUGCUACGUCCAUCCAUGGACAAGCUUCAUCGUCGCCUUGCUGCUGCGUCGUCCAUGGCUUCCCCUGCUGCUGCGUCGUCUGCUUCUUCUGCUCCUUCUGCUACGUCCAGCCAUGGACGAGCUUCAUCGUCACCUUGCUGCUGCGUCGUCCAUGGCUUCCCCUGCUGCUGCGUCGUCUGCUUCUUCUACUACUGCUACGUCGUCCAUGGCAGCUUCGUACUGCUGCUGCGAUGUCCAUGGCAGCUCGUACUACUGCUGCGACGCAAGCUCCAGCUUGUUGAUGCUGCGUUGCUGCUUCACUUCAUCGUCGCUGCCACUGCGUUGUCUUCAAACGACGCCAAACAACUAUCUUUUUCGUCGUCGCUUCGACCCGG
rnacentral:lncRNA from 1 species